UAGAUACCCCCCAGGUCUCCAGAUGGUGACAACAUGUCAAGCAGAGGAUCAGGAUGUCUACCUGCGCAUCCCACUGCAGACCCACUUCAACCGGGAUGGUGGCUGAUCGCAGGAGCUGAGCAGGUUUUACCAGCUGGCUCAGCAGCACGGUGAUUUUUACUGGGACAGGAGGGGGAUGCUGUACAUCCAUCCCUUCUUUGUGCUGCCCAUGAAGGAAAAGGAGAGAUACUCACAUCCACUUGACGUCCCACUGCUCAGUGCAAAGACCCACUAUCAUUUGAGGCCAGUGUCACUUCUGAACAUUCGGAGCUACCAGACCUUCCUCUCAGGGAAGAGCAUCAGCACCAAGGAAAGACAGAACCAAAACACCUAUUUCGAGUACUGAGCCUAAGCGGUGUUAUCCAGCCUGCCCCCAGUGGAAACCUCGCUUUCCAGCUGAGGGGGAAAUAACGUGAAAAUAAAGGAGAAAGAACCUGC